rnacentral:rRNA from 1 species
AGUGAACGCUGGCGGCAGGCCUAACACAUGCAAGUCGAACGGCAGCACAAGAGAGCUUGCUCUCUGGGUGGCGAGUGGCGGACGGGUGAGGAAUGCAUCGGAAUCUGCCCAUUUGUGGGGGAUAACCUCGGGAAACCGGGACUAAUACCGCAUACGACCUACGGGUGAAAGCAGGGGAUCUUCGGACCUUGCGCAGAUGGAUGAGCCGAUGCCGGAUUAGCUAGUUGGAGGGGUAAAGGCCCACCAAGGCGACGAUCCGUAGCUGGUCUGAGAGGAUGAUCAGCCACACUGGGACGGAGACACGGCCCAGACUCCUACGGGAGGCAGCAGUGGGGAAUAUUGGACAAUGGGCGCAAGCCUGAUCCAGCCAUGCCGCGUGUGUGAAGAAGGCCUUCGGGUUGUAAAGCACUUUUGUUGGGAAAGAAAAGCAGCCGGUUAAUACCCGGUUGUCAUGACGGUACCCAAAGAAUAAGCACCGGCUAACUUCGUG